AUACGUAGGGUGCAAGCGUUACUCGGAAUCACUGGGCGUAAAGGAUGCGUAGGCUGGAAAUCAAGUCGAGAGUGAAAUCCAACGGCUCAACCGUUGAACUGCUCUCGAAACUGGUUACCUAGAAUAUGGGAGAGGUAGAUGGAAUUGGUGGUGUAGGGGUAAAAUCCGUAGAUAUCACCAGGAAUACCGAUUGCGAAGGCGAUCUACUGGAACAUUAUUGACGCUGAGGCAUGAAAGCGUGGGGAGCAAACAGGAUUAGAUACCCUGGUAGUCCACGCCCUAAACGAUGUACACUAGUUGUUGCGAUGCUAGUCAUUGCAGUAAUGCACUUAACAGAUUAAGUGUGCCGCCUGGGGAGUACGGUCGCAAGAUUAAAACUCAAAGGAAUUGACGGGG
rnacentral:rRNA from 1 species